CAUGUUCACUCACUGAAACUUUCUGUAUACAGUAUCACUGAAUGUAGCUCCUCAACUCCUCUCUGUACUCAGUCCGUUCACACAUUCAUGUCUUGAAAUCUUUGAAGGUUUUAAAAAGAAAUUAGGCGAGUUUGUUUCUGAUUUACCAACUCUGUCUUAUUAUAUUGUCAACUAUAAUCUUGCUAUCCUAAAUAAAAUAAUCCAUAAUGCUGUCAGGGUUAAUGACUUAAACCUCUUCAUUUUCAAAUGACUGAUAUCUGAUUUUUUUCGAAUUAAACUGUUUUCCACACUUUCAAGACAUUUUUUGAAAUAUUGAAAUUUCACUGUUGAGUGCGACUGAGUAAACCGACACAAGUAGCUCUUUGUCAUAUUUAUCUUACAAAAAAAAUACAAAAGUUACAACAUCCAAAUUUAGUAACAAGACCUUACAAGGAGCACUUGAAGGCAGCAUUAAAACAGAGCCCAGACCUAGAAAUAAAACAGACACAAACUUGUGGAAAUGACAUAUAAAAUACAACCAAUUGAAAGAGAGAAGCCUUCACCAACCACCACCUCCUGUUUGCAGUAAAACAACAGGGCUAUACCGUUUUAUAAUGGUAACUGAUUCUUUUUUGCACACAUUUCAGAUCUUAAAAUUACAGUUUUGCUAUUUUUGUUUUCCACCUUCUUUGUAUCAUUUCCAGCUGGAGGUUAUUUGGCGUGUGUCAUGUUGCAGUUGCAGAUUUCUAACACUUGUGUGCAGCAUUGGUGCAGGUUUAAACCUUUAUACAGGAUAUGGUUUAAACUGGCAGGCUCCUCUGACUUCAUACAGUGUUCAAGCUCUCCUCUUGUCUCACUUCACAGUGUCUCUCAGCUGCUCUUCAAGGAUUCAAGUGGAAAUUAAAGUCCAGUAGAAUCAGGCUGAAAAUUUGAGCUUGGUUAAAUCAAAAGUUUAGAAAUUUCACCAGAGAAGAAAAAAAAACAACAGAAAACUCUGUGAGGUGUCGCUCAAAUCUCAAAUAAACACUACUCGUUACAAUGGAAUUAAAUCAUUUUUAUCUCUGUACAGUCACUUGCACUUUACUAAAUCCUGUCUUUCUUUAACUGAAUCACAGUCUAGACCAGAGUGUUUGAGCAAAAACUUUAACUCAUGUCAAGCUGUGGUCCAGCGGAUCCGGCUAUUUAUGGGUGUGUCUGAAUGAGAGAAUCACAACACACCCACUCUCUGCUGACUGCAGACCAGUGCAGUGCUGAUAAAUACACACCUACUGACCCGGAGCGAGCUGUUUGUUCUAACCCAAAUAUAUAGAAUCCAUGAUAAGACUCACGAUGUGUUUCAUCCCAUUCAUGUCACACUUGGUCUCUCUCUCUUUCUUUCUUUCUCUGACUCUCAUAACUUCCCGGUUUUCAGCAUUUUUCAGCAUGAGGAAUGGCCAAAACUAACAAGAAUAGUGGGCUGCCAGGUGCUGUUCCUCACAAAUAUAGCUAAACCUGGACACACACACGUCCUCUGAAGUAUCUCCAGCAUGUCCCUUCCCAGUAUGUAAACUAUUCAGUGUCGUCAGGGGUCAUGGAACGCAGCAGAGCCCAACCCAGAAGGUUAUUUCUGUCUCCCUGUUAAACAUCCAUAACCAUCCAGCCCCCACAGUGUGUGUGUGUGUGUGUGUGUGUGUGUGUGUGUGUGUGUGUGUGUGUGUGUGUGUGUGUGUGUGUGUGUGUGUGUGUGUGUGUGUGUGUGUGUGUGUGUGUGUGUGUGUGUGUGUGUGUGUGUGUCAGUGUGUCGUCUGACAGAAGAAAACAUUUAAACACAGAAUACUGACUGACAACAAUCUGCUGAGCUUCCUCGUGAAUCAAGUGAAUCUGUGAAGACAUGAAGUUGAUUUGCACAGCGAUAAAAAGUUUGAGAGAAAACAUGAUGAAAUAGUUUCAAAAACACAGUAAGUAGAGAUGCAAUCAGUGAACAAGCAACAAAACAAGCAGCUUAUUGAAAUAUCACACUUCAACACAGAGCAAACAUAAAGAAAGAAAAAAUAAUAGAUAAUCAAUCCACAUGACUAAAGAGACACGGUCCAAAAUAACAGAGCAUUAUAUUUAAAAAAAAGCACAGAAG